UUGGGAGCUCUCCCAUAUGGUCGACCUGCAGGCGGCCGCGAAUUCACUAGUGAUUCGUAUUACCGCGGCUGCUGGCACGGAGUUAGCCGGAGCUUAUUCUCCCGAUACUGUCAUUAUCAUCUCGGGUAAAAGAGCUUUACAACCCUAAGGCCUUCAUCACUCACGCGGCAUUGCUGGAUCAGGCUUUCGCCCAUUGUCCAAUAUUCCCUACUGCUGCCUCCCGUAGGAGUCUGGGCCGUGUCUCAGUCCCAGUGUGGCUGAUCAUCCUCUCAGACCAGCUAAGGAUCGUUGCCUUGGUGAGCCUUUACCCCACCAACUAGCUAAUCCUACGCGGGCUCAUCCCUGGGCGAUAAAUCUUUGGACUUUCGUCAUCAUCCGGUAUUAGCUUCAGUUUCCCGAAGUUAUUCCGAACCCAAGGGCAGAUUCCCACGCGUUACGCACCCGUGCGCCACUAGACCCGAAGGUCUCGUUCGACUUGCAUGUAUUAGGCAUGCCCCCAGCGUUCGUUCUGAGCCAUGAUCAAACUCUAAUCGAAUUCCCGCGGCCGCCAUGG
rnacentral:rRNA from 1 species